rnacentral:rRNA from 1 species
GAUGAACGCUGGCGGCGUGCUUAACACAUGCAAGUCGAGCGAAGCGAUUUUGAUGAAGUUUUCGGAUGGAAUUAAGAUUGACUGAGCGGCGGACGGGUGAGUAACGCGUGGGUAACCUGCCUCAUACAGGGGGAUAACAGUUAGAAAUGACUGCUAAUACCGCAUAAGCGCACAGGACCGCAUGGUCUGGUGUGAAAAACUCCGGUGGUAUGAGAUGGACCCGCGUCUGAUUAGCUUGUUGGCGGGGUAACGGCCCACCAAGGCGACGAUGUCUAGGGGUUCUGAGAGGAGGUCCCCCACAUUGGUACUGAGACACGGGACCAAACUCCUACGGGAGGCAGCAGUGAGGAAUA